rnacentral:tRNA from 2 species
GGCUGUAGCUCAGCUGGAUAGAGUACCUGGCUACGAACCAGGCGGUCGGAGGUUCGAAUCCUCCCAGCCG